rnacentral:RNase_P_RNA from 1 species
CAAGCAGAUCGCCUUAUCGCUGUCUCGUUUAACGAGAUGGAGGAAAGUCCGAACACCAUAGUGCAGCAUAGUGGUUAAUGGCCACCGAUCGUGAGAUUAGGAAAAGUGCAACAGAAAGAAUGUACAGGUUAAGCUGUAGUGAAAUCAGGUAAACUCUAUGUGGUGCAAUGCCAUGUAUACCAGCGCUUGAGCGUGGCACGCGCAAUGCUGGUGGGUAGGCAGCUAAAGUGUAUUGGUAACAAUUCACUCAGAUAAAUGAUAGGGAUCACCUAUAAGGUGAUACAGAAUUCGGCUUAUAGAUCUGCUUAAGCA